UGUGCUCCCCCGCCAAUUCCUGGCUGUCCACACUCUGGAUCAUUUCAAAAAAAUGCACCGAGUCGCGACAUUUGUUCCAGUGGAGAUGGCCGAUCAUCUGCCAGUGAAGUUGACGCGGGCACUGUCCGAUCUUUACCUUGGCUUCCUGCACCCGGUUUUCGCCAAACAAGCUCAAGCCCAGGUCCGCCGCAUGGGCCACCCGUAUACGGCGGUUGGCCCUUCGUCACGGCCCAUCACGUGACGAUCCGCCACAUUUCUCCCGGCGGGGGCGCACGCCGCAGUCAUGCGGGUUCAAACCGGCUCCAAGUUUUCUGCCAAUCCCAUGUGGAACACAUACGCGAACUUGCGGGUGAUGGCAAGCGCCCCCUUGAAGAAAGACUCGCGCGCUGGAACCGAUUCGGACCUGUUCCACCCAAAAAAACAGUUCGACUCCGGUCGGCGCUCGUGUUACUUUGCCAUUGUGAACGCUAUUUCGAACCUGCUGCUUGCGAACGCGCUGCUAGGUACAGACGCGUCGGCAGUCGCGGGUUAUACGUCGUUGGCCAAUUUUGAUGAACCCAGCUGCCGGCGUCGGCAGUGGGUUUUUUGUUUACCUCACUCACGGCAGGAUCAACCGGAGAACGUCGAAG
rnacentral:rRNA from 1 species